rnacentral:rRNA from 1 species
CAGUCGCCGCGGUAAAACGUAGGUGGCAAGCGUUGUCCGGAAUUAUUGGGCGUAAAGGGCUCGCAGGCGGUUUCUUAAGUCUGAUGUGAAAGCCCCCGGCUCAACCGGGGAGGGUCAUUGGAAACUGGGAAACUUGAGUGCAGAAGAGGAGAGUGGAAUUCCACGUGUAGCGGUGAAAUGCGUAGAGAUGUGGAGGAACACCAGUGGCGAAGGCGACUCUCUGGUCUGUAACUGACGCUGAGGAGCGAAAGCGUGGGAAGCGAACAGGAUUAGAUACCCCGGUAGUCCCUGUCUCUUAUAA